rnacentral:rRNA from 1 species
AAAGACUUAGUCCUAACCUUGCUGUUAACUCUUGCUAAACAUAUACAUGCAAGUAUCCGCGCCCCAGUGUAAAUGCCCUUAAUUUCUUACUAAGAUAAUAGGAGCUGGUAUCAGGCACACCCACCUAGCUGUAGCCCAAGACACCUUGCUCUGCCACACCCCCACGGGCACUCAGCAGUAAUUAACAUUAAGCAAUAAGUGUAAACUUGACUUAGUUAUAGCAUACCUCAGGGUUGGUAAAUCUUGUGCCAGCCGCCGCGGUCAUACAAGAGACCCAAGCUAACAGCAUCCGGCGUAAAGAGCGGGUACAUACUAUCUAGGCGACUAGGAUUAAAUCGCAACUGAGCUGUCAUAAGCCCAAGAUACGCCUAAAGCCAUCCCCAAGACGACCCUAGCGCCCACGAUUGACUAACCCCCGCGAAAGCCAGGGCUC